UACGGGGGGAGCAAGCGUUGUUCGGAUUUACUGGGCGUAAAGGGCGCGUAGGCGGCCACCGCAAGUCGGACUGUGAAAUCUCCGGGCUUAACCCGGAAAGGUCAGCCGAUACUGCGGGGCUAGAGUGCAGAAGGGGCAACUGGAAUUCUCGGUGUAGCGGUGAAAUGCGUAGAUAUCGAGAGGAACACCUGCGGCGAAGGCGGGUGCUGGGCUGACACGUGACGCUGAGGCGCGAAAGCUAGGGGAGCAAACGGG
rnacentral:rRNA from 1 species